AAAUGUAGUUGUUAACAUUCGUCACUUGACACAUAUAAUAAAACACAUUCCUUCUUCUGGUCGUGAAAUACGUUUUUAUUUCUAUUUCUAUUUUCCACAUGGUAGCGCUAGAGAGGCACAGAUCGACGCAGUUCUGACUGAGCUGCUAAUAAUGAACCACGUUCUGUCAUUUAUAUACUUAUUUGUUUUUCAUGAAGAAUUAUUUAGGCUUCUCUCCACAAGCUUUAUACUGGGUGUGACUUCAGGCAUCAUGGAGUGCAACAAAAUCUUUCUGAAGGUACAAGAGAUGGAGUCCUAACUCUCAUCUUUCUGAAGGUACGAGAGAUGGAGUCCUAACUCUCACCUUUCUGAAGGUACGAUAAAUGGAGUCCUAACUCUCAUCUUUCUGAAGGUACAAGAGAUGGAGUCCUAACUCUCAUCUUUCUGAAGGUACGAGAGAUGGAGUCCUAACUCUCAUCUUUCUGAAGGUACGAGAGAUGGAGUCCUAACUCUCAUCUUUCUGAAGGUACGAGAGAUGGAGUCCUAACUCUCAUCUUUCUGAAGGUACGAGAGAUGGAGUCCCAGGAUCUACCCCCACUACCCCCCACAUACUACCAUUGUGUCCCUGAGCAAGACACUCAACUCUGAGUGUCUCCAGGGGAACUGUCCCUGUGAUUGUAAGGUGAGCUGGAUAAAUGCUGUAAAUGUAAAAUGUAAAUGUUCUGUAUAUAAUAUCGUAAAAAAAUCAGAACUUCUACAAACAAUAUAAAAACAAUCAUUAUUAAUGUUAUUACUGUGAGAAGGAGCUCUGUCGCAACAUCUUUCAUUCAUGACUGUUCAGAUUCGGUGCUGCAGUUUACUAUUACUAGUUGCUAUUACGACUUGAUUAGUUUCAGAUGACGUGUAAAGUAGCGGACAAUACAUAUAAUUAUGAUAUGUGUUAUUGUCUGAAUUAUUAAUUAUCACUCAGCAGGUACAGGAGUAUAAGGAAGUGUCACAUGCUUCUGCAAAACCAUUUACUUUUACAGCAUUUACCAGACCCCCUUAUCCAGAGUGACAGUCAGUAGUUACAGGGAC
rnacentral:lncRNA from 1 species